AUCGCUUCUCAACCUUUUGGCUAAGAUCAGUGUAGCAUUUGUUCUUAUCAGUUUAAAAAAGUUUUUUGAGCAAAGAACAAUUUGUAAAUCAGGCAGCCUCCUGAGCCAGAGCAGGCUCAAAGAAUCCAGCACAG
rnacentral:snRNA from 1 species